rnacentral:lncRNA from 10 species
GGAAGCCUGGCUGUGAUGGCACAUCCUCUGCAGCCACACGGAAAGCAAAGAGAAGCCAGCAUAUGGGAACACUCAGCUUCCACUACAUAACCUUUAUAGGUGACAUCUGCACAUACCUGCUCCUCCCAUCCCUGCUGGAACUCUGUGGGAGUGUCCCUCUUCCUAUCAUGGCCAGGAUUUCCAUCUGGGCUUUGGGUCCCAUCCCUUCCUGCCCUUCAGGGUAAUCUCAUUAUCAACCAUCCCUUGUCUUUUAUCAUUCAGCCUCUCCCUCCCUCUUGACUGUUACCAUGGCAGUUUUUUAAUAUGUUGGUGUCUUUCCCAUCUUAAUAAUAAUAAUAAUAAUAAUAAUAAAAUACUAAGACCUUCCUUGAUCACACACUAGCAUGGCACAUUUCUAUAGCCUCCUCCAUAGUACACAAAGAACUGUGUAUUCAUUAGUGGAGGAGAGGGUGCAAGAGGGGCUUUGUCCCCAUGCUCCUUUCUCCCAUACCCCUUUAGUCGGGCCACCCCCCAACAACCCGUCGUCUCAGCAGGUAAUUCUGAGCACCCUCAUGCUUUCCUUGCCCUGAAAGGUACAGAUCCCAGACGCUGGAGUUCAACAGCCCUACUUUGCUCUGCUACUCAGCCUGGCAUGACCCCUGACUCCUGCACUUCAGUUUCAUUGAUCAUAAAAUGCAAACAAUGGAUAUGCUACUUCAUAGGGUUGUUGUGAGGAUUAAAGCAUAUAUGUGUCUUUAUCAGGAUUUCUAGUUGCAAUCCAUAGAAAUGAACUCUGGCUAAUUUGGUUAGAAAAGGGAAUUGUUAAAAGGAUUUUGGAGACCCCAGAUCUCCAGGAAGGCUGGAGAACAGGUUUGAAUACUAUGUUGCCAGGAAUAACACCCAAAAAUCACAUCACAGAGCUAGUCCCCUGAAGAAACCUCUGCCAAGCCACGGCCGC